rnacentral:rRNA from 1 species
GACGAACGCUGGCGGCGUGCUUAACACAUGCAAGUCGAACGAUGAAACCUAGCUUGCUAGGUCGAUUAGUGGCGAACGGGUGAGUAACACGUGACUAACCUGCCCCUUUCUCUGGGAUAACGCUCCGAAAGGAGUGCUAAUACCGGAUACUCACACCGAGGCACAUGCCUGGGUGUGGAAAGUUUUUCGGAAAGGGAUGGAGUCGCGGCCUAUCAGCUUGUUGGUGAGGUAACGGCUCACCAAGGCGACGACGGGUAGCCGGCCUGAGAGGGCGACCGGCCACACUGGGACUGAGACACGGCCCAGACUCCUACGGGAGGCAGCAGUGGGGAAUAUUGCACAAUGGGCGCAAGCCUGAUGCAGCGACGCCGCGUGAGGGAUGAAGGUCUUCGGAUUGUAAACCUCUUUCAGUAGGGACGAAGCGAAAGUGACGGUACCUAAAGAAGAAGCACCGGCUAACUACGUGCCAGCAGCCGCGGUAA